UUAAGUGUAUAUUUAUACACUUAAUUGUACCUUUUAAUUGGAGCUUUUGAUGUGUUUUUACGAUAAUUGGUGCUUAAUUUGGUUAUUAUUUGUAUUUUAGGGACAAAUUGAAGAAUUGGAAAAGUAUGGGGUCAAAACUGCAAUUUUGGAGAAAAUAUGGGCCAAAAGUGAAAAAAUCAAAAUUCUGAAGAUUUAAAGCUCGGACCCCCGUCCCAGUUUUAGUGCAAAUCGUGGGACCCCCGUCCGAGACUCCGAAAUUGCGUAGAAAAGGGAUUUUAAUUGCACAAGGAAACUGCCUUCUUCCCCAAGUUCUUCACCCUAUAUAAGACCAAGUCAGGCACACAAUUGGGGGGUCUCUUUUCGAUCUUUUACCUUUUAUUUUUAUUUGGAGUUUUUAUCUUUUCUACACGCAAUCGAGGAGCAAGAGAACGAAGACGAAGACUUGACGAAUCUUCAUCCUAGUUUCCCUUUUCCUUUUCUUUUCUGAUUUUUAUGAAUUUCCGUAUUUUUAUUAUGCUUUUCGUUACGAACAUGAGCAGCUAAGUUUUUAUUCUAGGAUUUUAUUGGAACCCUAUGUGGUGAUUCGAACCUCUUAUUCGACUUUUAUGCAAG
rnacentral:lncRNA from 1 species